rnacentral:lncRNA from 1 species
GCUUAAGGAAGUCCUGAAAGGUGAAAUGAAAGGGCACUAGACAGAGGGGACAGUGCAGAUUCAGGCAGGUGCAAUGGCUUCUGGGGAAGACCCAGCCAGUGGGGCUAUUGCCAGCAUCCAGUCAGCUGCCACCUUCCCUGACCCCAGUGUCAAGUGAUGCGCAGGGUGAUCCAGGUGUGUGAGGGGCAGCUGGAUGUCCAGACUGAGGGCACUGGUGCCAUCAGUGGCUAUCCUACCACUCAAUUCAUGACCCAGGUGGUGAUCCAGGGUGAUAUCACCAGUUAUGAUGCAGUUAACACAGAGGGGAAAGCUGCUGAGAUACACUAUACUUUCCCACCCCUGCAGUGGGAGAUGGGGCAGGGGGUACCACAUCAGGGAGUACAGCUGCUGUUGUUACUACCCAGGGCUCAGAGGCACUGCUUGGGCAGGUGACUCUUCCUGGCACUGGUCAAUUAUUUGUGAUGAUGUCACCACAAGGAGUACUGCAGGGAGGAAGCCAGCACUUGAUUGCCCCUAGGACUCAACC